GACCGCUCCGGUGGCCUAGUGGAUAGAGCGUCCGCCUCGGCUGCGGGAGAUCGUGGGUUCAAUCCGUGGUCGAGUCA